AUUACGCCUCUGCCAGACCUGGGCACUCCAGGGAGCCGGUGGCGCCCUCGCUCGAGAAGGAGUCGGGAAGAGGAGAGUGGCUUUCGGGAAGCAUCUCCUCUGAGGAAGAGGCGGCGGCGGCGGCAUUUACGGAGAGAAAAAAUUCUCUGAAAAUUCCAUUUGAAACACUGAAAAAACACCAUCUAUUUUCUUUUGGAAAAUGAUCUUGCUCAAGCAUCUGAAGAAAGAGUGCUUUGGAGAAGUGCAGCAUUUAGAAGGGCAUUUUCAGGGCUGGGAUCUGGUAAAUA